rnacentral:pre_miRNA from 1 species
AGCAUAAAACAGAGAGGACGAGGACGGGAACAGAACAUCUUUCAAAGAUGUCCUGUUCCCGUCCUCGUCCUCUGUGUUUUAUACUUU